rnacentral:rRNA from 1 species
GGGUUGUGAGGUUAAGCGACUAAGCGUACACGGUGGAUGCCCUGGCAGUCAGAGGCGAUGAAGGGCGUGCUAAUCUGCGAUAAGCGCCGGUAAGGUGAUAUGAACCGUUAUAACCGGCGAUACCCGAAUGGGGAAACCCAGUGUGAUUCGUCACACUAUCAUUAACUGAAUCCAUAGGUUAAUGAGGCGAACCGGGGGAACUGAAACAUCUAAGUACCCCGAGGAAAAGAAAUCAACCGAGAUUCCCCCAGUAGCGGCGAGCGAACGGGGAGGAGCCCAGAGCCUGAAUCAGCAUGUGUGUUAGUGGAAGCGUCUGGAAAGGCGCGCGAUACAGGGUGACAGCCCCGUACACAAAAGCGCAUAUGCUGUGAGCUCGAUGAGUAGGGCGGGACACGUGGUAUCCUGUCUGAAUAUGGGGGGACCAUCCUCCAAGGCUAAAUACUCCUGACUGACCGAUAGUGAACCAGUACCGUGAGGGAAAGGCGAAAAGAACCCCGGCGAGGGGAGUGAAAAAGAACCUGAAACCGUGUACGUACAAGCAGUGGGAGCACAGGUUUACCUGUGUGACUGCGUACCUUUUGUAUAAUGGGUCAGCGACUUAUAUUCUGUAGCAAGGUUAACCGUAUAGGGGAGCCGGAGGGAAACCGAGUCUUAAUUGGGCGUUAAGUUGCAGGGUAUAGACCCGAAACCCGGUGAUCUAGCCAUGGGCAGGUUGAAGGUUGGGUAACACUAACUGGAGGACCGAACCGACUAAUGUUGAAAAAUUAGCGGAUGACCUGUGGCUGGGGGUGAAAGGCCAAUCAAACCGGGAGAUAGCUGGUUCUCCCCGAAAGCUAUUUAGGUAGCGCCUCGUGAAUUCAUCUCCGGGGGUAGAGCACUGUUUCGGCUAGGGGGUCAUCCCG